UACGUAGGGUGCAGGCGUUAAUCGGAAUUACUGGGCGUAAAGCGUGCGCAGGCGGUUUGCUAAGACAGGUGUGAAAUCCCCGGGCUUAACCUGGGAACCGCGCUUGUAACUAGCAGGCUAGAGUGUGGCAGAGGGGGGUGGAAUUCCACGUGUAGCAGUGAAAUGCGUAGAGAUGUGGAGGAACACCGAUGGCGAAGGCAGCCCCCUGGGCUAACACUGACGCUCAUGCACGAAAGCGUGGGGAGCAAACAGG
rnacentral:rRNA from 1 species